UGAAAAUAGGCGGUUACAUUC
rnacentral:piRNA from 1 species